GUUUAUUUACUGCAAUGUCCGUGUGGCAAACAGUACGUGGGACGCACAAAAAGGAUUUUAAAGGUCAGAAUACUUGAACAUUUAAACAAUAUUAGGAAAAAAAUCAUAACCCAUUCUGUUUCGGCUCACUGUUCUAACUGUCCUUUUUUUACCCUUAGGGAAUUUAAGUUUAUGGGUAUUGAAAGAGUUUUUCCAUUCUGGCGAGGGGGUGAUAGGGUCAAGAAAUUAUC